rnacentral:rRNA from 1 species
CAGUCGCCGCGGUAAUACGGAGGGGGCUAGCGUUGUUCGGAAUUACUGGGCGUAAAGCGCACGUAGGCGGCUUGGUAAGUUAGAGGUGAAAGCCCGGAGCUCAACUCCGGAAUUGCCUUUAAGACUGCCGAGCUAGUAGGUGAGAGAGGUAAGUGGAAUUCCGAGUGUAGAGGUGAAAUUCGUAGAUAUUCGGAAGAACACCAGUGGCGAAGGCGGCUUACUGGCUCAUUCUAGACGCUGAGGUGCGAAAGCGUGGGGAGCAAACAGGAUUAGAGACCCCCGUAGUCCCUGUCUCUUAUAC